GCAAUUGAGAAAUAAUGGCUUCUUUUUGGCAUAUCUAUGUCUGCAUGCAAUAUUUGGGACAUAUUUAUGCUAAGGAGUUGCUUGUUAUUCAGCUGAAAUUCAAAGUUAAUUUAGCAUCCUUAUUUU
ensembl:miRNA predicted gene, 23654